GCCUAUAGUUAGGGGAUUUUUAGUGUGGCUAAAGUCACCUAUUUAUCGUUGCGUUUACGUUGCCAAUGCGUAAACAAAGCAACGAUGCAGC
rnacentral:antisense_RNA from 1 species